rnacentral:rRNA from 1 species
UACGUAGGGGGCUAGCGUUGUCCGGAUUUAUUGGGCGUAAAGAGCGUGUAGGCGGCCAGGUAGGUCUGCUGUGAAAACUCGAGGCUCAACCUCGAGACGUCGGCGGAAACCAUCUGGCUAGAGUCCGGAAGAGGAGAGUGGAAUUCCUGGUGUAGCGGUGAAAUGCGCAGAUAUCAGGAAGAACACCCGUGGCGAAGGCGGCUCUCUGGGACGGUACUGGCGCUGAGACCCGAAAGCGUGGGGAGCAAACAGG